rnacentral:rRNA from 1 species
AGAGUUUGAUCCUGGCUUAGGACGAACGCUGGCGGCGUGCUUAACACAUGCAAGUCGAACGAAUAUCUAUCUUCGGAUAGUGAAGAGUGGCGAACGGGUGAGUAACACGUGGGCAAUCUGCCCCUCACAUCAGGACAACCUCGGGAAACUGGGGCUAAUACUGAAUACCCAAUCAUACAGGCAUCUGUUUGAUUGGAAAGGAUUCUGGUGAGGGAUGAGCCCGCGGCCUAUCAGCUUGUUGGUGGGGUAAUGGCCUACCAAGGCGACGACGGGUAACCGGCCUGAGAGGGCGACCGGUCACACUGAGACACGGCCCAGGCUCCUACGGGAGGCAGCAGUGGGGAAUAUUGCGCAAUGGACGAAAGUCUGACGCAGCAACGCCGCGUGAGGGAUGAAGUACAUAGAGAUGUAAACCUCUUUCAGCAGGGACGAAGCUAACGUGACGGUACCUGCAGAAGAAGCACCGGCUAACUACGUGCCAGCAGCCGCGGUAAUACGUAGGGUGCAAGCGUUGUCCGGAUUUAUUGGGCGUAAAGGGCUCGUAGGCGGUCUGUCGCGUCGGAUGUGAAAACUCGGAGCUUAACUCCGGGCCUGCAUUCGAUACGGGCAGACUAGAGUUCGGUAGGGGAGAUUGGAAUUCCUGGUGUAGCGGUGGAAUGCGCAGAUAUCAGGAGGAACACCGAUGGCGAAGGCAGAUCUCUGGGCCGAUACUGACGCUGAGGAGCGAAAGCAUGGGGAGCAAACAGGAUUAGAUACCCUGGUAGUCCAUGCCGUAAACGGUGGGCGCUAGGUGUGGGGAGCAGUUUACGCUUUCCGCGCCGCAGCUAACGCAUUAAGCGCCCCGCCUGGGGAGUACGGCCGCAAGGCUAAAACUCAAAGGAAUUGACGGGGGCCCGCACAAGCGGCGGAGCAUGCGGCUUAAUUCGAUGCAACGCGAAGAACCUUACCUAGACUUGACAUAUACCGUUUACCUUCAGAAAUGUUGGGUCCUUCGGGGCGGUAUACAGGUGGUGCAUGGCUGUCGUCAGCUCGUGUCGUGAGAUGUUGGGUUAAGUCCCGCAACGAGCGCAACCCUUAUUCUAUGUUGCCAGCGCGUAAAGGCGGGGACUCAUAGGAGACUGCCGGGGUCAACUCGGAGGAAGGUGGGGACGACGUCAAGUCAUCAUGCCCCUUAUGUCUAGGGCUGCACGCAUGCUACAAUGGCCGGUACAGAGGGCUGCAAAACCGCAAGGUUAAGCGAAUCCCACAAAGCCGGUCUCAGUUCGGAUUGGGGUCUGCAACUCGACCCCAUGAAGUCGGAGUCGCUAGUAAUCGCAGAUCAGCAACGCUGCGGUGAAUACGUUCCCGGGCCUUGUACACACCGCCCGUCACGUCACGAAAGUCGGUAACACCCGAAGCCGGUGGCCUAACCC